UGGUGUGGGCCUUGUGGUCCUGCAGUCACAGCGUCCGUGGGGCUGCCAUCAUUCGCAGGCCCCCCCAGGGCCGGAAGGUCCACUUCUACGUUUGCACCUGGAGAGUGUGUGCUGGCUGCUGGUGGGAGGCCGUGGGCAUCUGCCAUGCGGGCUUCUCCAUGGGCUGCCUGUGUGUCCUCACAGCAUGGCAACCAGCUCCCCAGGGACCAGUGAUCCCAGCAGAGCAAGGCAGGCCUGCGUGUCUUUUGACUUCAUCUUGGCAGCUGCACGCUAGUGUGCCCACAACCCUCUACUCAUUAGAAGCAUGUCCCUGAGUCCAGCCCACACUCAAGAAGGGAGCUUUUGAGGGAGGAGUGUCAGAGUUUGGGGGUGUAUUUUAAAACCACCACACCCAUCACAGCUACAGAAAUCUCAUUUGCUCAUUCAAAAACUGUCUCCUGAGUACCUGCUGUGUGCCCAGCCCUGGGGCUGAGGACAGAGCCCUUUCCUGCCAUCAUGGAGCCUGCAUUGCACGGGGGUUCCCAUUCCACCGUGACCUGGCAGGAGAUGUCAGACCGCAGCUGAGGGCCCUGCUGGUUUCCUACGAGGAGGCUGCAGAUGGGAAUGAGGACCUCACGGUCAAGGGCAUGGGCACCGCCCACCUGGCAGAUGACACAUUUGUGAGUGGGUCCCCAGAGGUCUGCCCUGGCACCCGACAACCCCAGGAGGCAGGAACAGGUUAGAGCCAACUGUGGAGCUCAUCAGAGAGGUGACUUUCAGUACCAAAAGGGUGUUUUCCAAGGGAAAUCCUGCCACACAGGGCAAAUGAGAGCAGGUCAGGGCUCACCAGUCACUGCAGAAUCCGCCGGCCCACAUGUCCCUGGUCUUCAGGG
rnacentral:lncRNA from 10 species